rnacentral:rRNA from 1 species
UAUCCUGUCUGAAUAUGGGGGGACCAUCCUCCAAGGCUAAAUACUCCUGACUGACCGAUAGUGAACCAGUACCGUGAGGGAAAGGCGAAAAGAACCCCGGCGAGGGGAGUGAAAAAGAACCUGAAACCGUGUACGUACAAGCAGUGGGAGCCUCUUUAUGGGGUGACUGCGUACCUUUUGUAUAAUGGGUCAGCGACUUAUAUUCUGUAGCAAGGUUAACCGAAUAGGGGAGCCGAAGGGAAACCGAGUCUUAACUGGGCGUUAAGUUGCAGGGUAUAGACCCGAAACCCGGUGAUCUAGCCAUGGGCAGGUUGAAGGUUGGGUAACACUAACUGGAGGACCGAACCGACUAAUGUUGAAAAAUUAGCGGAUGACUUGUGGCUGGGGGUGAAAGGCCAAUCAAACCGGGAGAUAGCUGGUUCUCCCCGAAAGCUAUUUAGGUAGCGCCUCGUGAAUUCAUCUCCGGGGGUAGAGCACUGUUUCGGCAAGGGGGUCAUCCCGACUUACCAACCCGAUGCAAACUGCGAAUACCGGAGAAUGUUAUCACGGGAGACACACGGCGGGUGCUAACGUCCGUCGUGAAGAGGGAAACAACCCAGACCGCCAGCUAAGGUCCCAAAGUCAUGGUUAAGUGGGAAA